GUUUUUUAUUUGGUCGGGUUGUUGUCUCUUUGACACAUUCCCCAUUUCCAUUCUCAAUUUUAUUUCUCUUUUAUCAUGUUUAUUAAUCUGUCUCCCUGUUUGCAAGUACCAGCAUAAUAGACAAAUGGAUGAAAAGACUAAAGGAAAUUUUUUUUUUGGUAAAAAUUAAAUUAUUAAAUGCCAAAAAAGGUGCAAGCCAGGGCAAACCGUGCAAGGGCUGUAUAGCCAGUCAAGGUCGUUGAAAACUUCCAUUUGUUGUUGUGGAUUUUGUUUUUUACCAGUAUACUUUUCAUAAACCUACAUCACUACUAUAUAUGUUUUUGCCAAGCAAAUUAUGUAGCAGGGCCAUAUGUAUAUCAGAAAAACAAAAACAAAAACAUUUACUUUUCUUACUUUAUUUUAUUACAGAAAGAUCAAUAUUAUCAUUAGAUAUUUUUCUACACAAUUUAUCAGGUUAAAAGUAAUG
rnacentral:lncRNA from 1 species